UACGUAGGGUGCAAGCGUUGUCCGGAAUUAUUGGGCGUAAAGAGCUCGUAGGCGGUCUGUCGCGUCUGCUGUGAAAACUCGGGGCUUAACCCCGGGCCUGCAGUCGAUACGGGCGGACUCGAGUUCGGCAGGGGAGACUGGAAUUCCUGGUGUAGCGGUGAAAUGCGCAGAUAUCAGGAGGAACACCGGUGGCGAAGGCGGGUCUCUGGGCCGAUAUUGACGCUGAGGAGCGAAAGCGUGGGGAGCGAACAGG
rnacentral:rRNA from 1 species